GAAGUACAAUACCCGAGGUUCACUUGUCUUCACUCGCCUGGAUGUGAUUUUCCCAGCGCAGAGCUUUCGUCCCAUGGUUGUACCAUAAACCGCAAAGACGAUGAUUUUUGUUAUCCUCUGAAGUCGGCUCAGGGAUGCAAUUUCUGACAAAUCAAAGGCUUGACGGGUGUUCUUUUAUGACGAACAGAGGUGUAUGAAAGAUGAAAAAAAGAUUAAAAAAAAUCAACAUCAAUGGAAUUGAAAAUAUAUGUUAAAAUGACUGGCGAAUGACAUACUAGUAAUUGACGUAGGCCUAUUAUAUUCGAAAAGCUGUAGUACGAGAAGUAAAGAACAUCCUCUAACGGAAUUACCACAGGCUAAACUAGGCUUCCGUACCAAACACGACUAUUGUCGGUUGCUAUUUGAAGGGACACGUGUUCAUCAUAACUACUCUGGAAAAAUGAGAAAUGACUGAAUCGCGUCAACGAAAUGUUCUGAUUAAAGGAGCUUUAGAUGUGCGCUGGGAAAGAACAAGAGUGAAUGCAGCUUAAUUUUAAUUACCACCCAGUAGAAAGGGACGUCGAUUGAAUCUACACUACUGAAUUGAAAAAGGUUCAGGAUUUGGUAACGACUAAUGUUCAGAUUUUGCUGGCAAAUCUUAGUGCAUCCACUUACAUAUUAGAACUCUUUGUGGACUUGAACAGUAGUAGAACAAUUUUACUUGCAAUGUAAAUUAUUUUAGUUCUCUAAAACUGUUAAGUUGUUGAUAAUGUUGCUGUGUAAAAGAUUAUGUAAAUUUGGUAAUUUUACUAAUUUUUUUAUUCAAACCCUUACACAGUUGAAGCCAUUGUGACACAAACAUUUGCACAUACACUUCAAAGACAUAGCAAUUACUCAUUUCUCUUGUUAUCAGCUAAUGUUAUAUAUUUACACAAAUCAAUGAAAGCAGAUCUAUUGAUUGUAGUAAUUCUAAAAAAUAUACAUUCUUGGAUGAGUAUAAUAAUAACGUUUCAUGAACUCUGGACAUAAGUCUUUAUAAAUUACAUUUAAGAUCGCAUAACUGACAAAACGCGCUACAUAUUGUAUGCCCUAAUUUUCUUUGAUCAAGAAGAAGUGUACAUCUAUACGUCGCAUUCUCAACAAUUGGCAAUAUUUAGAUUCUGAAUGGAUGACAGCUUUGUGCGGAAAAAAAUGUCAAAGAUAUACAUCUUUUUGUAUGAUGAAAAUGAUAAAGCGGUUGAAGAGGAGAUGUACCGUCUAUGCUUCAAAAUUAACAAAAAUCAUAACAUAAUAACUCUCUGGAAAUCAUAGAACUGGAAAAUAUUGAGGCUUUGCACAGCUACACUUCUUAUAACUCCGAAAUUUCAUUACAAUCUGACAAAAGAUUGAUACAGUUUCAAUGUCUUAGUAUAAUCUAUUAAAGUUUGUAUUAUCCGUUAGAAGCAUGUGCUGUUAAGGCCUAUGCUACUUUGAAAUUAUGAAUUAGGUGGGUGGGGUACAUGAUAUUAUUUCUGAUUAAUUUCGAAGUUACUGUAAAACAAACGUUAUUCCAAUGUGACAAUACAUCAAAACCAUGAAGUGCUGAACUCUU
rnacentral:lncRNA from 1 species